rnacentral:rRNA from 1 species
GUAUGUUGACGUAUUCUGAAAGGGAUACUUCUUCGGACAAUAUACAAGGUGCUGCAUGGUUGUCGUCAGCUCGUGCCGUGAGGUGUCGGGUUAAGUCCCAUAACGAGCGCAACCCCUAUCAUUAGUUGCCAUCAGGUCAAGCUGGGGACUCUAAUGAAACUGCCUACGCAAGUAGUGAGGAAGCGGGGAUGACGUCAAAUCAGCACGGCCCUUACGUCCAGGGCUACACACGUGCUACAAUGGCCGAUACAGAGGGCAGCUACCUGGUGACAGGAUGCAAAUCUCCAAAGUCGGUCUCAGUUCGGAUCGGAGUCUGCAACCCGACUCCGUGAAGUUGGAUUCGCUAGUAAUCGCGCAUCAGCCAUGGCGCGGUGAAUACGUUCCCGGGCCUU